rnacentral:rRNA from 1 species
CCAGACUCCUACGGGAGGCAGCAGUGGGGAAUAUUGCACAAUGGGGGAAACCCUGAUGCAGCGACGCCGCGUGAGUGAAGAAGUAUUUCGGUAUGUAAAGCUCUAUCAGCAGGGAAGAUAAUGACGGUACCUGACUAAGAAGCCCCGGCUAACUACGUGCCAGCAGCCGCGGUAAUACGUAGGGGGCAAGCGUUAUCCGGAUUUACUGGGUGUAAAGGGAGAGUAGGUGGCAGAGCAAGUCCGAAGUGAAAACCCAAAGCUCAACUAUGGGAAUGCUUUAGAAACUGCUCAGCUAGAGUGCAGGAGAGGCAAGUGGAAUUCUUAGUGUAGCGGUGAAAUGCGUAGAUAUUAGGAGGAACACCAGUGGCGAAGGCGGCUUACUGGACUGUAACUGACGUUGAGGCUCGAAAGCGUGGGGAGCAAACAGGAUUAGAUACCCGCGUAA